rnacentral:lncRNA from 1 species
UUUUUUUUUCAGGCAAAAUCCAUUAGUCGUGACCAAGGGUUCCGGAGUCCUGAAGACGAACAUGCAUAAUAAACAUACUUUGGUGGGACCAUUCAUUCU